AAUGUCUGGGAAACUGCCUGAUGGAGGGGGAUAACUACUGGAAACGGUAGCUAAUACCGCAUAAUGUCGCAAGACCAAAGUGGGGGACCUUCGGGCCUCAUGCCAUCAGAUGUGCCCAGAUGGGAUUAGCUAGUAGGUGGGGUAAUGGCUCACCUAGGCGACGAUCCCUAGCUGGUCUGAGAGGAUGAUCAGCCACACUGGAACUGAGACACGGUCCAG
rnacentral:rRNA from 1 species